rnacentral:rRNA from 1 species
GACGAACGCUGGCGGCGUGCCUAAUACAUGCAAGUCGAGCGCAGGAAGCCGUCUGAACCCUUCGGGGGGACGACGGUGGAAUGAGCGGCGGACGGGUGAGUAACACGUAAAGAACCUGCCCAUAGGUCUGGGAUAACCACGAGAAAUCGGGGCUGAUACCGGAUGUGUCAUCGGACCGCAUGGUCCGCUGAUGAAAGGCGCUCCGGCGUCGCCCAUGGAUGGCUUUGCGGUGCAUUAGCUAGUUGGUGGGGUAACGGCCCACCAAGGCGACGAUGCAUAGCCGACCUGGGAGGGUGAUCGGCCACACUGGGACUGAGACACGGCCCAGACUCCUAUGGGAGGCAGCAGUAGGGAAUCUUCCACAAUGGACGAAAGUCUGAUGGAGCAACGCCGCGUGAACGAUGAAGGCUUUCGGGUCGUAAAGUUCUGUUGUAAGGGAAGAACAAGUGCCGCAGGCAAUGGCGGCACCUUGACGGUACCUUGCGAGAAAGCCACGGCUAACUACGUGCCAGCAGCCGCCGUAA